UCAAAUUGGCUUUUAAUGGCUCUCUGGUCACUGUUUCACCUUCUCUUAUGUCAGUUUCUACUCCCUGCCUGUGACGGUCUUCUUUUACUUGUAUACCCUGGCUGCCAAGGCUAGAUUACUAUUCCGUGUAUGUAAAUAAUCUGUGAUGAUUGAUUUUAACUGUCCGUUGGUGGUUGGUAGCAUUGUUAGUUUUGAAUGUAUGACGGUUGGAGCGGUUGGAGUGUGGUUGUGUGUUGACAGUGUUAUUCUUUAUUCUCGAAGUUCUCUUACGUUUAAACAAGGUAAGUAAUAUGUUUCUAAGCUGCAGAACUGUGGAAAAUUAUUAUCGGUCUUAGGAUUAUCAGAUCCAAAUACACUUUCUUAUAUUGACUGUUUUGUUAUUGCAAGAUGGCAUUAGUUUAGUGUCGCCACGAAUUUAUUGUUUUCAAAGGGAGAUUAAUAGUUUCUUUUAUUAUUAUAUUUUCGUCACCAUCGUGUUAGUAUUGCUACGCUGUAGGUCGUGUAUUAAGUACUGCAUGUUUUGUAGUUUUUCGUGGCAAGCUUUAGAUAUGGACAGCUUUUCUGACUUACAUUUUUCUCUGAUAUGCUAGUCCUCCAUAGAUUUUUACGGUGUUUACAGAAUGGGAGUGUUUAUUUCCAGUUUGUAUGUUUUAUGUAAUGCCUCUUUUUUAUAUAGGGAUUUUAGUCUUAUAUGAUUAAAAUUGUAGUUAAAA